CAAAAUCCAUUUCCCUUUCCUGUUCGCUCAGGGAUUAACAUUUGGAUUAGCAGUUGGAUAAACAACUUCAUUUUAAAAAUCCUGCGGCUAUUCAAAUUAGCUACACCGUGGGAUGUAAGGAGCUCUCUGAUUGGUUGGUCAGACACAGGCUGUCUGCCAGCCUGGAUUUUUCUAGCUCAUAGCUUCGCCCUGCUAAGAAGCGUGUGCUUGUACAAAGGCCGUUCAGCCUCAGGAUUUACACUCGGCUCGACACGGAUAUGUGAAGAAUGAAGGGACCCUGCAGCGAAACGGAGAGCGCAACCUCUGACUAAGUGCCCGUUUACGCAGUCUGACCACCUGUGAAGGAUGAAGGACAGCCACCUGCAGGCCUGAUGGGCGUGGCCCUGCCGGCUGCCGGUCACGCCUAGGUUCUCACACACCUGCUUCUGAUCGGGCUCGUCGGGGGAGCUACUUAACAGAGCGAUGGAGCUUCCUCCGGCGCAGGAUCGUUGAGUUAGACUCCAUGAGGACAGCGGAACACAGGACUGCAAGACACACGGGGUGUGCGAAGGCACAGGGGCAGAGAGCAUGAAAUACCAGCACUUAGGAGAAGAUUCGUCACGGGAGUCGAGGGAGCACUUUUGGAGAUUUAAUGUGUGGUGUACAUUUACCUCACUGUAAAUAAACCCACUGCUCAUUCCACUAAGUCCGGCGUUUGGGUCCUUUCUCCAACAUCCCCCACGGUCUGCCACCCAGACCGUGACAAGGAGAGUCCUUAUAAUGUACAAAUGUACAAAAUAUUAAUUAAAAAAUAAUAUAAAUGGAGGCAAAUUUGCCUAGGGUACAAUGUAUACUAUGUACAGAAAGAUCUUUAAUGCAGCUACUACUAUGGCUCUAUGAAAGAUUUUUUUCUUUUAUUUUAACCUAUAUCAUUUUGAAAUCUUUUAUUAUGCACAUAUGUGCAUAAUAAAAGAUUGUUAUUGUUUGAACGUGAUCGACUCUUGAUUGUUUGUUCACAGCCCAACAUCAAAGAAUUGGUACAGUUUUUUGGAGCCGUGACCUGGAUGUUGUGAGUCUGAGUGUUGAACGAAAGAGAACAGAGUUCAGUUAUCGGACGGACAGGAUUCGGCCGAUCGAUCGAUUGGAGUGGGCCCACAAAAGUAUAAAGGCCUGCAAGAUUGGAAUUAACAGCGCUGUAAAACAUUUUCUUGAGAGCAAAUAUAAGGUGAGCUUCUCAAAAUUACAAUGGGCUUUGGAGAAAGUUACCUGUGGGGGACGCGAUCAGAUUGUAAGUCCCCGUUUAAAAGAAUUGUAGCGAGUCAAUCCCCGGGUCUGUGGAAAAAGACCUCAGGGUAGUCCACCCCUGAGGUUGAAGCAAGAAGAGGAGAAGAGCGCAGAGAAUCGCCUGUCCCGGAAGAUUAGUGUCUUUAACUGUUAAGAAGAUCAAAAGCCCCUUAGACAGAGGUUCUAGACUGAUCACAAAGGUAGAAGCAGGAAACAACCAGAAUGGGGAUCGGGGGAAGCUAGAAAAUAAUGAGAGGUCUGGUAAUAGCCUGUGAUUUUUAUGCCAUGACAAUUGCCCACAGCAGUCAUCCCACAUACGGUCCACCCAUUAAAGGAGGACAGAUGUUAUGAUCCUGGGUCUUUUGACCCAGCGUUUUGUGUUUUCUAUUAUUGUGAUGUAUUUUGGUUCUGGUUUUCUAUUUCUUUGGGUUUUGGUUCUGUUCUUCCUCAGUUUAGUGUUUAGUCUUUUCUGCCUGUGUAUUCCUGUGUCAAGUCCACGUUUCUAAGUCUGUGUCUUUGCAUGUGUGAGUUCCUGUUUUAUUUUGUAGGUCUGUGUCUCUCGUCAGUUUUUCUAGUUUCACUCCCCUUGUCUCGUUAUGUUCAAAUUCUCCCAGCCGUGCCUCCCUCCUAGGGCUGGGCGAUGUGACCCAAAAUUCAUAUCUCGAUAUUUUUUUAGCUGGAUGGCGAUAUACGAUAUAUAUCUCGAUAUUUUUUC